rnacentral:misc_RNA from 1 species
CACUAGUGGGCCGGGCCAUUACAGCUAAACUAUUGGAAAUGCUAUCUAUGGAAUUUGUUGGUACUGAGUGGGAAUAGCUCAAUGUGCCAUAAUCUUGCUCAGAUCCUUUCGGCCCAUGGCGCUUGGACUGCUACACUAUUAAGGAGUUGGAGUUGCGUUUCUGUUAAUAACUUAACCUUUUGGUAUAAUGGUAAGACUCGAUCCUAUAAUUAGUACUAGAGCCGAGAUCAUGAGUUUGAAUCUCUGGCAAGUGCUGAGAGAGGGGAUUAUUGGCAUGGGAAUAGCUCAGUGGGCCCCUUUGGCUCAUAAUGCUUGGACUGCUAUGCUAUAAGGAGUUGGAGUUGUGCUUUUGCUAACAAUUUAAACUUUUGGCACAGUGUUAAACUCUACAGAAAUAAUUUUGGGUACUUGGUCUAUUAUUACCAAGUGUGUAAGGUAGAAGUGGCUUGAUUUGUGAAGCAUCAAGAGUAUUUCUAGCAAUUUGAAAUUUUGGACCUUUUCUUUUUAGUUUUAGCAAAUAAAAUUGCCGAUUUUGGUUCUUGACAACAUUCUUUGCUGGGCUUAAGUAAUUUAUGGAUUUUAGAUCUUUUUUUCAAUUUCAUAUCCUUUGCUUUCAGUUUCGUUUCUUGAAAAAAAUCUCCUAUCAAUUGGGACUCGUUUCUUUUGCUGUGGUACUCUUUUUUAAGGUUUGUUGAAGUUUGGACAGC